AUUGGUUGUGAAGCUGGACGUGGAGGCUGUUUGAUGAUGGAGUAGAAGAGUUUGGCGUUAUUUCCAAGCAUAGGGUCAUCUGCAUCCGUAGCUGUCACCUGAACCACUGUGGUCCCUGGGUAAAGAGACAAAGGGAAGACACCCUGUCAGUGGUAAAUGGGUUGUUGUGUGCAUAAACUGACCAGGCUCUUCAGAGUGUGGAUUUCACCGGUG